rnacentral:rRNA from 1 species
CCUACGGGGGGCUGCAGUGAGGAAUAUUGGUCAAUGGACGAGAGUCUGAACCAGCCAAGUAGCGUGAAGGAUGACUGCCCUAUGGGUUGUAAACUUCUUUUAUAUGGGAAUAAAAUGUUCCACGUGUGGGAUUUUGUAUGUACCAUAUGAAUAAGGAUCGGCUAACUCCGUGCCAGCAGCCGCGGUAAUACGGAGGAUCCGAGCGUUAUCCGGAUUUAUUGGGUUUAAAGGGCGCGUAGGUGGAUUGUUAAGUCAGUUGUGAAAGUUUGCGGCUCAACCUUAAAAUUGCAGUUGAAACUGGCAGUCUUGAGUACAGUAGAGGUGGGUGGAAUUCGUGGUGUAGCGGUGAAAUGCUUAGAGAUCACGAAGAACUCCGAUUGCGAAGGCAGUUCACUGGACUGCAACUGACACUGAGGCUCGAAAGUGUGGGUAUCAAACAGGAUUAGAUACCCGAGUAGUC